UUUUCACGGCAAUUGUAACAUCUCCUAUUCUUCUUCUUGUUACUUAAACUGGAACUUGGCUCCUCUGAUUUUUCCUCCAAAUUCGUCAAAGGAACUGCACGCUCCUCAUCUGGUUUUUCCUGCAAAUCCGUGAAAGGAACUGCAGGUAUUUUCUUCGGGCAUUCAGAAUCAAAAUGUCCCUUUUCAUGGCAAUUGUAACAUCUCCUAUUCUUCAUCUUGGUAUUUCCAGUGGAUCUUGGCUCCUCGUCUGGUUUUUCCUCCAAAUUCGUCAAAGGAACUGCACGCUCCUCAUCUGGUUUUUCCUGCAAAUCCGUGAAAGGAACUGCAGGUAUUUUCUUCGGGCAUUCAGAAUCAAAAUGUCCCUUUUCAUGGCAAUUGUAACAUCUCCUAUUCUUCAUCUUGGUAUUUCCAGUGGAUCUUGGCUCCUCGUCUGGUUUUUCCUCCAAAUUCGUCAAAGGAACUGCACGCUCCUCAUCUGGUUUUUCCUGCAAAUCCGUCAAAGGAACUGCAGGUAUUUUCUUCGGGCAUUGAGAAUCAAAAUGUCCCUUUUCAUGGCAAUUGUAACAUCUCCUAUUCUUCAUCUUGGUAUUUCCAGUGGAUCCCGG
rnacentral:lncRNA from 1 species